AUACGGAGGGAGCGAGCGUUAAUCGGAAUUACUGGGCGUAAAGCGCGCGUAGGCGGCUUUGUAAGUCGGAUGUGAAAGCCCUGGGCUCAACCUGGGAACUGCAUUCGAUACUGUCUGGCUAGAGUAUAGUAGAGGGAAGUGGAAUUCCGGGUGUAGCGGUGAAAUGCGUAGAUAUCCGGAGGAACACCAGUGGCGAAGGCGGCUUCCUGGACUAAUACUGACACUGAGGUACGAAAGCGUGGGGAGCAAACAGGAUUAGAAACCCCAGUAGUCC
rnacentral:rRNA from 1 species